CGGAUGCAGCUGAACAGGGCAACCUGGAGCGGCUAAUGGUGCUGGUUUCGGCAGGCAAUCAUCAUAGCAUCCUUGGGUUGAUUCCUUUGAUAAAUUUGUGUUCCCGUUUGCACACACUGCGAUUGCUUGUAAGUUUCUCCGACCAAUCUUGUUUCAGAACGUAUAGCUUGCUGGUUUCUGUUUAAAGCUUUUUUGCUGGUUUCAGCUGUGUACGCAUUAUUACACCGCGGAACCUGAUCAGCAGAGUGUGGAUGUGGUUAAAUUACAGCGGGAGAGC
rnacentral:lncRNA from 1 species